rnacentral:pre_miRNA from 1 species
AUCGAAUGAAUCGGUCACACACCCGUAUUUAGCGUCCAUGUGGUGCACAUGGACGCUAAAUACGGGUGUGUGACCGAUUCAUUCGA